rnacentral:rRNA from 1 species
GACGAACGCUGGCGGCGUGCUUAACACAUGCAAGUCGAACGGAAAGGCCCUGCUUUUGUGGGGUGCUCGAGUGGCGAACGGGUGAGUAACACGUGAGUAACCUGCCCUUGACUUUGGGAUAACUUCAGGAAACUGGGGCUAAUACCGGAUAGGAGCUCCUGCUGCAUGGUGGGGGUUGGAAAGUUUCGGCGGUUGGGGAUGGACUCGCGGCUUAUCAGCUUGUUGGUGGGGUAGUGGCUUACCAAGGCUUUGACGGGUAGCCGGCCUGAGAGGGUGGCCGGCCACAUUGGGACUGAGAUACGGCCCAGACUCCUACGGGAGGCAGCAGUGGGGAAUAUUGCACAAUGGGCGGAAGCCUGAUGCAGCAACGCCGCGUGCGGGAUGACGGCCUACGGGUUGUAAACCGCUUUCGCCUGUGACGAAGCGUGAGUGACGGUAAUGGGUAAAGAAGCACCGGCUAACUACGUG